GCCUGCGUGGCUCAGUUGGUUGAGCGUCUGACUUUGGCUCAGGUCAUGAUCUCACUACUCAUGGGUUCGAGCCCCACAUUGGGCU
rnacentral:tRNA from 1 species